AAUCGGACAUAGUACGAGAAGGUUGUAUGUCUAAAGGGAAACAGCCCAGAACAAGAGUAAUAAGGUUCCUAAAUUAUUAUUAAGUGAAAUUAAGGAUAUAAAUAUAUAAUACAACCAGGAAAUAGGCUUAGAAGCGGUCAUUUUUUAAAGAUCUCGUAAUAGAGCACUGGUUAAUUUAUUCUUUAAUAUAUAGAUACCUAAAAUUUAACGGAUCUAAAUAAUAUACCGAUACCUUGUACAUAUUUAAAUUAAUUUAAAUAUGAGAUAGCGGAACAUUGGAUAAAAUAGUAGAGAUAAAAAUAAAUUAUAUUAUAUUUAACUAAUCUAAGAAUCCAAGAGAGAAUGCUGACAUGAGUAACGAAAAAGGAUUAUAAAUAAUAUCCUCGCCUUAAGCUUAUGGUAUUUGA
rnacentral:rRNA from 1 species